rnacentral:rRNA from 1 species
GAUGAACGCUGGCGGCGUGCCUAAUACAUGCAAGUCGAACGCUGGAACUCUAGCUUGCUCGCUUGAAGGAGUGGCGAACGGGUGAGUAAUACAUAAGCAACCUACCCACGAAGACUGGGAUAAUCUCUGGAAACGGGGACUAAUACCGGAUAGGUAAUCGGAAGGCAUCUUCUGAUUAUUAAAGGUUAAAAACACUGGUGGAUGGGCUUAUGGCGCAUUAGUUAGUUGGUGAGGUAACGGCCCACCAAGACGAUGAUGCGUAGCCGGCCUGAGAGGGUGAACGGCCACAUUGGGACUGAGACACGGCCCAGACUCCUACGGGAGGCAGCAGUAGGGAAUUGUCGGCAAUGGGGGAAACCCUGACCGAGCAACGCCGCGUGAGUGAUGACGGCCUUCGGGGUGUAAAGCUCUGUUGUAAGGGAAGAACGGUAGAUAGAGAAUAUCUAAAUGACGGUACCUGACCAGAAAGCCACGGCUAACUACGUG